UCAUUCUACCAAAGACCGGACUCCAUUGUUUCCCAUUCCUCUCUUUUUUUCUCUCAUCCUCUGACACCCUACUAUCUCACAAACCUAGAACUAGAUCGUGCAAAGUCAUUCAAAGACAAGUAAGAGCUUCAUCAUUUCCCUCUUUCAACCGCGAAUCUAAUCGAACCUACCUUAUUCAUCAUCCAAUUAUAAAACUCAAUCCCCAAAACCCUAAUCCUAAAUGUCAAAGGGCGAGAAUCUAAUCAUUCCUCUCCUUUGCUCAUUCAAAUCGGCACAUGCAACUACAAAUCUUUGAUAUGACCAUGACAGUUUUUAGUCCAAAGGUCUAACGCAGUGACUAAUAGAUUUUGGUUUUAACUGGUGGUCCAUUUUUCUUCUACAACCAAUUCAUUCAUUAUUUCAAAUAAGUAAACUCUCCUUCUAAUUUUUCCCUCUAUUUUUCUCAUAUUUUACCCUCUUGUUCUCAUCAGUGUUUAUCGUCACCUUCUAGUAAUUUUUUCGAAAUUCAAUUAGAACCCUAUGUCUUGAUUGCAACUAUAAAUAGGGGGCUUUAGUGCCCUCAUCAAACACACGAACUACUUUAAGAAUUCUAUUAAAUGUUCUCCAUUUAAAUACUCUAAAAGUUCUUCACUGGUUUCCUUUCUUUCUUUUAUUUUUGCUCGAGUUCAACAACUGAGAAUUGAUUGUGAGCUUUGGUCCCUAAACAACUAAAAACUCCUACUUGGUUUGCUACCCCGAAGAGGGUUAGUAGACUGCUGACCUCCCUUUAAUUGUUUGGUUAUUUCAUGUGUUAUUACAGAGUUUUUUUUUCUAUUAAUCGCUUGCAUGCUCUUCUUCAUGACACACAUCGGCCAAGUAUGUGACCUUCAAUUUUGUUUUUGAUGCUUGUGUUGUUCUUCACUUAAUUAACUGAUAUUUCUUGCUAAUUGUUGUGUUUAUUCCCUAUGUUGUUGUUUAAAUCAACUUCUUAUAGUGAUCAGUGAGUUAUGUUUCUCACAAGUAUAUUACCAUUUUUGUAUUGCUAACUAAUUGAAAUGAUUUUUGUGCUUAUUAUUGUGAUCACUGUGAACAGUCCUGUUUAAUUUCUUACGUGGAUUUAAUUAAUUGAUCUCUAUGUUGUAAACAAUGUUUUCUACAUAUUAUUGCUAUGUUAAUUUAGUGAUGCUUAUUUAUUUCCAUACUUAUAUUAUAUGUUGAUUAAGCUGAUUGAAUGAUGUUCAUAAACCUUCAUGUUAUCCUGUUUAAUUAACUGAAAAAAUCCUUAUGCUUAUAUCAUUAUGUUUUCCUGCUUGAAUGAUCCUCAUGUUUAUAGUAUCAUGUUUCUUUUGUUUAGAUAAUUAAAAUGACCCUCAUUGAUAGUUAUUCCUACAUUACCAUGUUCAUUUGCGUGGUUAAAUGAUUUCAAUUAACAGUUAUAUUUAUGGUACUAUGUUAAAAUGAUUUAUGUUAGCAAACAUGCGUGUUUACCAUGAUAAAUUGAACAGAAGGGGAAGUAUAAGACAAACUAUGUUGGCAUUAUUUACUUUAGAGUUCAAUCGUGAUCUUGUUUUCAUGACUAUAAUGAUGAGUUGCAAUCACAUGCCGCUUUUGCCUAAGCUAGUUGUAAGUAAGUAUUUCUCGUUAUCUAAUGAUCAUUUAACACUGUCCAAAAAGUUUUCAUUGAUAUUUUGGAGUAUUGGUGAUCUUGAUAGCUUGGAAUGUUUCACUGGAUGUUGUUAAUUCUCAAUAUGUAUUAUUAUGUUAGAUGUCAUGACAAAAGGAUUCAUAUAGCGAGUCAUAAAGUUAAACCUCCUAUUCAGACUUAAUGUCCAGGUUAUUCUGAUGUGGCGACUCAACUAGUCGUCUCAUGAGUUAUCACUCCGUUUCCCCCAUUUCAACUUCUUAUUGCUUUGUUCAGUUGUAUUUCAUGUCAUCGGGUUGAUCGAUUCGGGUUCGGAGAGGUUUUGGCAAGGUUUGAGAUAUUUAGUCUCUUUUGAGGGAGCUUAAGUUGAAAAAGUCAACCAGAUGUUGAAUUAAAUGUUAGAGGGCUCGAAUGUGAGUUCCAAUGGUUUAUAUAGCUUUGAGAGAUGAUUUGGGACUUAGGAGCGUGAUGGAAAUGUAUUUUGGAGGUCCGAAGUAGAUUUAGGCUUGAAUUGGUGAAUUGGAUUUUUAACGUUUUCCGGUUGAUAGGUGAUAUUUUGAUACAGGGAUCGGAAUGGAAUUCCGAGAGUUGUAGUAGUUUUGUUGUGUCAUUUUGAAUGUGUGCAAAAUUUUAGGUCAUUCAGACGUGGUUUGGUUGAGUUUUUUAUCAAAAGCUAAAUUUAGAAGUUCUUGGAUUCUUAGGCUUGAAUCUGAUGUAAUUUUGGUGUUUUGAUGUUGUUUUUGGCAUUCCGAAGGUUGGAACAAGUUUGAAUAAGGUUAUGGGAUAUGUUGGCAUGCUUGGUUGGGGUGCCGAUGGCCUCGGGUGUAUUUUGAAUAGUUGAACGGACCAUUUUAAGUUAAAGGAAAGUUGCAGAUUUUGGUUUCAGCUGUUGCAGGCAUUUUGUUCUUCGCAUUCGCGAGGGACCCUCGCGUUCGCGAAGGGUGAAGAAGGGAGGCAUCAUAUUUGGCCUUCAUGUUUGCGAGGGGGUCCCGCGUUUGCGAAGAGUCGGAAUGGGAAGCAUUCCGUUUGAGAGAUGCCUGACCGCGUUCGCGAUGGUUGGUGAGGCUGAGGCAUCGCGUACGUGAUGAUGCGAUCGCGUUCGCGUAGGAGAAUUUUGGACAAUGGAAUUUUGUGCUUCGCGAACGUGAGGCUUUGAACGCGUUCGCGAAGAAGGACUUCUGAUCGCUGGGCACAAUGUUUAAAAGGCCAUUUUUGCGAGUUUUGGCCUAAGUUCACCAUUUUUACUCGGUUUUUAGCUUUUUAGAGAGAUUGAAGAGGGAAUCAAGGAGAACUUGUUAAAGGUAAGAAUUUUGAACAUAAUGCUCGAUCCUAUUGUUAUUUCUACCUAAUUAAAGAUGAAAUUUGGGGAAUUUGAAGCCUAAAUUGGGGAGUUAGAGCUUGGAAACUUGAGACUUUAAUCUAGGUAUUUUAGGGGCCAUUUGUGGUCGCAUUUUGGUAUUCUUGGUAUGUAUGAACUCGUAGGAGGAUAAGGAUUCCAUUGACGUGAUUUUUAUCGAGUUUUGAGACGUGGGCCCGGGGGUCGAGUUUGGCCAAUUUCGGGAUUUUUGGUACAAUUUAAUUAUUUUCGCUUGGGCUUCGUUCCUUUAGCAUAUUCUAAUGUUAUGAUUCUAAUUUUGGAAAGAUUCAGCGAGUUGAGGCCGAGGUGAGAGGCAAAGUCAUCGCGGAGUAGUAACUCACCCGGUUUGAGGUAAGUAACCAUUCUAAACCUGAAACUGAGGGUACUAUUUCGAAUUGUGUGGACAAAUGAGGUGACGCACAUGCUAUGUGAUGAGUGUGUGGGCGCGCACCGGUAGGGAUUGUGACUUGAUCCAUCCCGUAGCGACUAUUAAGCCGCGUAUUUGAUUUGAGAUCUUAUGAUAUUCAGUAUUUUAGACAUUUAUACUGUAUUAUGGGUUGUAUGCCAUGUUUGGGGCUAUGUGCCGACCUAUUGAGACCAUUGGGGGCA
rnacentral:lncRNA from 1 species